CCUACGGGGGGCAGCAGUGAGGAAUAUUGGUCAAUGGAGGCAACUCUGAACCAGCCAAGUAGCGUGAAGGAUGACGGCCCUAUGGGUUGUAAACUGCUUUUAUACGGGGAUAAACUGAGUCACGUGUGGCUUAUUGCAGGUACCGCAUGAAUAAGGACCGGCUAAUUCCGUGCCAGCAGCCGCGGUAAUACGGAGGGUCCGGGCGUUAUCCGGAUUUAUUGGGUUUAAAGGGAGCGCAGGGCGCCUCUUAAGCGUGUUGUGAAAGGCUGCGGCUCAACCGUUGCAGUGCAGCGCAAACUGGGAGGCUUGAGUGUGGCUGAGGUAGGCGGAAUUCGUGGUGUAGCGGUGAAAUGCUUAGAUAUCACGAAGAACUCCGAUUGCGAAGGCAGCUUACCGUAGCGUUACUGACGCUGAGGCUCGAAGGUGCGGGUAUCGAACAGGAUUAGAUACACCGGUAGUC
rnacentral:rRNA from 1 species